GCCUUCGUGAUGUAGUGGUCAGCACGCUCGACGCGUAACCGAGGAGAGGUCCGUGGUUCGAGUCCCGGCGACGGCA
rnacentral:tRNA from 1 species